rnacentral:rRNA from 1 species
AGAUUGAACGCUGGCGGCAGGCCUAACACAUGCAAGUCGAACGGUAACAGGAAGCAGCUUGCUGCUUCGCUGACGAGUGGCGGACGGGUGAGUAAUGUCUGGGAAACUGCCUGAUGGAGGGGGAUAACUACUGGAAACGGUGGCUAAUACCGCAUAACGUCGCAAGACCAAAGAGGGGGACCUUCGGGCCUCUUGCCAUCAGAUGUGCCCAGAUGGGAUUAGCUUGUUGGUGAGGUAACGGCUCACCAAGGCGACGAUCCCUAGCUGGUCUGAGAGGAUGACCAGCCACACUGGAACUGAGACACGGUCCAGACUCCUACGGGAGGCAGCAGUGGGGAAUAUUGCACAAUGGGCGCAAGCCUGAUGCAGCCAUGCCGCGUGUAUGAAGAAGGCCUUC